GCAGCAAAGAUCGAAGAUCUCUCAUCCUGCAACUAAGACCUGGCACAGCCAAGUCAGUAUUUAUGUAUUAAAAACCAACACCAUGCUUCUCCCUCCACUGUUGUCCAUAGGCGCCCUUCACACCUGAGCCCUGUCCUGGCCCUGACCUGGGCCUCGCGGGAGGAGCCUCUGCCUAGCUGGGACUCAAUCUAGAACAGUCUUUUCUCACCGUAGCCAUACCAUCUAAGCCCAGGGUCCAGGCUCCUGUGCACGGAGUUGAUGGGGCCCGCACAGGUGAGGAAAGCAUGAGAAUCCGUGACCCUGAAGUGUCCUCAGUGACCACACCGGCGCUCAGACCUCAGACAUCCCACCUGCAGAGCUGGAAGCAAUAAACUUCAGCUGUUGGUGAACCAAAACAUAAAAAGCAAUAGAUAUUGAAGAGCCUACAUCUUUCUUCGCCCCCAUCCUUUCUCCAGUGCCCUAGUCUUGGGGGCCAGGGCUUCUCUGAAGAGGAGCAUCCCGCAGUGACAACCUCCUCGGAAACCUGUCUGUCCCUGCCUCCUGCACGCCAGCACCAUCUGGGAGCUAUGGUCUGAUUUGAUCUGAUGUUAAGACAGUCACGCCAGGAAUUCAGCUCUUGGUUUUCUUGCAGUGAAUCAGUUCAUCUUAAUCUCAGGCAUGUGAG